AUUGAACGCUGGCGGCAUGCCUUACACAUGCAAGUCGAACGGUAACAGGUUAAGCUGACGAGUGGCGAACAGGUGAGUAAUGUAUCGGAACGUGCCCAGUCGUGGGGGAUAACGUAGCGAAAGCUACGCUAAUACCGCAUACGAUAUACGGAUGAAAGCGGGGGAUCGCAAGACCUCGCGGGAUUGGAGCGGCCGAUAUCAGCUUAGGUUGUUGGUGAGGUAAAAGCUCACCAAGACUGCGAUCUGUAGCUGGUCUGAGAGGACGACCAGCCACAAUGGAACUGAGACACGGUCCAGACUCCUACGGGAGGCAGCAGUGGGGGAUUUUGGACAAUGGACGCAAGUCUGAUCCAGCAAUGCCGCGUGCAGGACGAAGGCCUUCGGGUUGUAAACUGCUUUUGUACGGAACGAAACGGUGAGCUCUAAUACAGUUUGCUAAUGACGGUACCGUAAGAAUAAGCACCGGCUAACUACGUGCCAGCCGCCGCCGUAA
rnacentral:rRNA from 1 species